rnacentral:rRNA from 1 species
GAAGGUGGCAAGCGUUGUUCGGAUUCACUGGGCGUACAGGGAGCGUAGGCGGUUGGGUAAGCCCUCCGUGAAAUCUCCGGGCCUAACCCGGAAAGUGCAGAGGGGACUGCUCGGCUUGAGGACGGGAGAGGAGCGCGGAAUUCCCGGUGUAGCGGUGAAAUGCGUAGAGAUCGGGAGGAAGGCCGGUGGCGAAGGCGGCGCUCUGGAACGUUUUCUGACGCUGAGGCUCGAAAGCGUGGGGAGCAAACAGGAUUAGAUACCCUGGUAGUCCACGCCUUAAACUAUGGAUACUAAGUGUCGGCGGGUUACCGCCCGGUGCCCGCAGCUAACGCAGUAAGUAUCCCGCCUGGGAAGUACGGCCGCAAGGUUG